rnacentral:rRNA from 1 species
AUUGAACGCUGGCGGCAUGCCUUACACAUGCAAGUCGAACGGCAGCACGGGAGCUUGCUCCUGGUGGCGAGUGGCGAACGGGUGAGUAAUACAUCGGAACGUACCCAGGAGUGGGGGAUAACGUAGCGAAAGUUACGCUAAUACCGCAUAUUCUGUGAGCAGGAAAGCGGGGGAUCGCAAGACCUCGCGCUCUUGGAGCGGCCGAUGUCGGAUUAGCUAGUUGGUGAGGUAAAAGCUCACCAAGGCGACGAUCCGUAGCAGGUCUGAGAGGAUGAUCUGCCACCCUGGGACUGAGACACGGCCCAGACUCCUACGGGAGGCAGCAGUGGUGAAUUUUGGACAAUGGGGCAACCCUGAUCCAGCCAUGCCGCGUGAGUGAAGAAGGCCUUCGGGUUGUAAAGCUCUUUCGGCGGGGAAGAAAUGGCAACGGCUAAUAUCCGUUGUUGAUGACGGUACCCGCAUAAGAAGCACCGGCUAACUACGUGCCAGCCGCCGCAGUAA